UAGAGUUUGAUCCUGGCUCAGAACAAACGCCAGCGGCGUGCCUAACACAUGCAAGUCGGACGAGAAAUCCUGAGCAAUCGGGAGAGUAAAGUGGCGCACGGGUGAGUAACGCGUGGGUAAUCUGCCCUGGAGAUGGGAAUAACACCUCGAAAGGGGUGCUAAUACUCGAUAAAAUCCCGGAGACUCCGGUCUCAGGGAUAAAAAGGUGGCCUCUGCUUGCAAGCUAUCGCUUCAGGAUGAGCCCGCGUACCAUUAGCUAGUUGGUGGGGUAAUGGCCCACCAAGGCAAUGAUGGUUAGCUGGUCUGAGAGGAUGGCCAGCCACACUGGAACUGAGAUACGGUCCAGACUCCUACGGGAGGCAGCAGUGAGGAAUCUUGCGCAAUGGGGGAAACCCUGACGCAGCAACGCCGCGUGAGUGAUGAAGGCCUUAGGGUUGUAAAGCUCUUUCGGCGGGGACGAUGAUGACGGUACCCGCAGAAGAAGCCCCGGCUAACUUCGUGCCAGCAGCCGCGGUAA
rnacentral:rRNA from 1 species